CAUCGAGCAGAGGGAAAAGGAGCAAUCCGCUUUGAGAUGGCCUCGCGUCCGAUUAGCUAGUUGGUGAGGUAACGGCCCACCAAGGCGACGAUCGGUAGCCGGACUGAGAGGUUGAACGGCCACAUUGGGACUGAGACACGGCCCAGACUCCUACGGGAGGCAGCAGUGGGGAAUAUUGCACAAUGGGGGAAACCCUGAUGCAGCGACGCCGCGUGGAGGAAGAAGGUCUUCGGAUUGUAAACUCCUGUUGUUGGGGAAGAUAAUGACGGUACCCAACAAGGAAGUGACGGCUAACUACGUGCCAGCAGCCGCGGUAAAACGUAGGUCACAAGCGUUGUCCGGAAUUACUGGGUGUAAAGGGAGCGCAGGCGGGAAGACAAGUUGGAAGUGAAAUCUAUGGGCUCAACCCAUAAACUGCUUUCAAAACUGUUUUUCUUGAGUAGUGCAGAGGUAGGCGGAAUUCCCGGCGUAGCGGUGGAAUGCGUAGAUAUCGGGAGGAACACCAGUGGCGAAGGCGGCCUACUGGGCACCAACUGACGCUGAGGCUCGAAAGUGUGGGUAGCAAACAGGAUUAGAUACCCUGGUAGUCCACACCGUAAACGAUGAAUACGGGGUGUUGGAGGAUUGACCCCUUCAGUGCCGCAG
rnacentral:rRNA from 1 species